rnacentral:rRNA from 1 species
UACGAAGGGGGCUAGCGUUGUUCGGAAUUACUGGGCGUAAAGCGCAUGUAGGCGGAUAUUUAAGUCAGGGGUGAAAUCCCAGAGCUCAACUCUGGAACUGCCUUUGAUACUGGGUGUCUCGAGUAUGGAAGAGGUGAGUGGAAUUCCGAGUGUAGAGGUGAAAUUCGUAGAUAUUCGGAGGAACACCAGUGGCGAAGGCGGCUCACUGGUCCAUUACUGACGCUGAGGUGCGAAAGCGUGGGGAGCAAACAGG